rnacentral:misc_RNA from 1 species
AAAGUCGUAACAAGGUUUCCGUAGGUGAACCUGCGGAAGGAUCAUUAGAAGAAGUUUUGAUUUGAUGCCGUAGCGAACUGUCGCUUCGUGCCCUGAUAUCAUCAAAACCGACCCGAAAGGUCGUCCACCGUGUGCACGCAUCGAACCAUGCUUUGGCAGACUCUCCCUCGACCUCUCUCGCGAGGUUCGGCGGGGCUGGGCGCUCGGGCCCGAGGUCUGCCAGGGUCUUUUCAGUUCAACCAUAGCCUGAUCGCUUGUCUGAACACAAAUAUUGUAACAUAACCAAAUACAACUUUCAACAACGGAUCUCUUGGCUCUC